rnacentral:ncRNA from 1 species
AAAUCCGUCCCUUGUUGUGGCUGAGGCGUGAUGUCGAGUCGUUUGAGACGAAGUGAGUGAUCCCAUGCUGUCGAGAAAAGCCUCUAGUGAGUGCGUGGGCGGCCCGUACCCUAAACCGACGCAGGUGGUCAGGUAGAGAAUACCGAGGCGUUCGGGUGAACCAUGGUUAAGGAACUCGGCAAAUUGUCCCCGUAACUUUGGGAGAAGGGGAGCCCUGUCUGGUGAAGAGGCGUUUGCUCUUGGAGCUGGGUGGGGUCGCAGAUACCGGGGGGAAGCGACUGUUUAUUAAAAACACAGGUCCGUGCGAAGUCGUAAGACGCUGUAUACGGACUGACGCCUGCCCGGUGCCGGAACGUUAAGAGGACUGGUUAGAUGGCCUUUGGGUUGUCGAAGCUGGGAAUCUAAGCGCCGGUAAACGGCGGUGGUAACUAUAACCAUCCUAAGGUAGCGAAAUUCCUUGUCGGGUAAGUUCCGACCUGCACGAAUGGCGUAACGACUUCCCCGCUGUCUCAACCAUGGGCCCGGUGAAAUUGCACUACGAGUAAAGAUGCUCGUUUCGCGCAGCAGGACGGAAAGACCCCGGGACCUUCACUAUAGCUUGACAUUGGUGUUUGGGAUGGUUUGUGUAGGAUAGGUGGGAGCCUGUGAAGCUUGGACGCUAGUUCGGGUGGAGGCGUUGGUGAAAUACCACUCUGGCUGUUUCGGGCAUCUAACCUGGGACCGUGAUCCGGUUCGGGGACAGUGUCUGGUGGGUAGUUUAACUGGGGCGGUUGCCUCCUAAAGGGUAACGGAGGCGCCCAAAGGUUCCCUCAGCCUGGUUGGCAAUCAGGUGUUGAGUGUAAGUGCACAAGGGAGCUUGACUGUGAGACGGACGUGUCGAGCAGGUGCGAAAGCAGGGACUAGUGAUCCGGCAUCGGCGUGUGGAAGCGGUGUCGCUCAACGGCUAAAAGGUACCCCGGGGAUAACAGGCUGAUCUUCCCCAAGAGUCCAUAUCGACGGGAUGGUUUGGCACCUCGAUGUCGGCUCGUCGCAUCCUGGGGCUGG